rnacentral:rRNA from 1 species
GACGAACGCUGGCGGCGUGCUUAAUACAUGCAAGUCAACUGAACUUAAGAUAGCAAUAUUUUAAGGGAGGUGGCGCACGGGUGAGUAACACGUAGGUAAUCUGCCUUUAGGUCUGACACAACCCCGAGAAAAUCGGGGCUAAUAUCAGAUGAUGCAGCGGCUCGACAUCGAGACAGUUGUUAAACCUUCGGGGCCUAAAGAUGAGCCUGCGUCUGAUUAGGUAGUUGGCGGAGUAAAAGCCCACCAAGCCUGCGAUCAGUAGCUGGUCUGAGAGGAUGAUCAGCCACACUGGAACUGAGACACGGUCCAGACUCCUACGGGAGGCAGCAGUAAGGAAUAUUGCUCAAUGGCCGAAAGGCUGAAGCAGCAACGCCGCGUGGAGGAUGAAAUACUUUUGUAUGUAAACUCCUGUAAGAAGGGAAAAAUAUUCCGAUUUAUCGGGAUUGAUUGUACCUUCAGAGUAAGCCCCGGCUAACUACGUG